AGGGUUCGAUCCUGGCUCAGGAUGAACGCUGGCGGCGUGCCUAACACAUGCAAGUCGAGCGAAGCAAUUAAGAUGAGACUUCGGUGGAAUUUUGAUUGACUGAGCGGCGGACGGGUGAGUAACGCGUGGAAAACCUGCCUCAUACAGGGGGAUAACAGUUAGAAAUGACUGCUAAUACCGCAUAAGCGCACAGCACCGCAUGGUGCAGUGUGAAAAACUCCGGUGGUAUGAGAUGGACCCGCGUCUGAUUAGCUAGUUGGUGAGGUAACGGCUUACCAAGGCAACGAUCAGUAGCCGACUUGAGAGAGUGAUCGGCCACAUUGGGACUGAGACACGGCCCAA
rnacentral:rRNA from 1 species